CUCCCACAGCUGUGACCAAAAUCAGCUCCGAGACUUCCGUUGCGUCCAAACCUGACCAGAGUCCAGAAUCCCCCACGAUAAAGCGAGGCGAACAUCUACUGAGACGUGACGUCACUGAACCCAAGCUGUACUUGCCUCUUUCGAUGAUGAGCAAACCCAACAUAGAGUCUUCAUCGUCUGCUACGACAGGACCGUCCCCAAUCAAACCUGGGGAGUAUCCCUUUAAGCGAGUACCAGUUGUCAAGACACCCAGUCCCAGUCUGAAGAGAAGUGUG